CAUUCUUCAAUCAAAUCGACCAAACAGUUCGCAAUGUUGUUGAUGAUCGCGUGGAAUCCAUGGCGCUGGACGGCUGCGCGCCCGACGCCACAUUCUGGUGCGUGCUCUUCGCGUGGAGCCACACUGGAUCGCUGGAGCUGGUAGCGGAGGGCCACCGCUAGGGUUGUCAGCGCUAGGAGCUGGGCGGCGUGGCCAGCAGCGCCAUGGCGGUGAUCAAGGAGGAAAGCGCUCACACUUGGCAGCCUCUCCCAGUAGCCUUCUCAUGCCUCUCCUUGCCAGACGUUCAACGUUCGUCUUCUUCCUCAUUUUUCUUGUUGAGGAUCUGGAUGGUUACUUGGAUAACCAUGGAUUAGCUGCGCAAGCUAUACACUAGAUAUUUUUUUCUUUGACAGAAGUUCGUGCUGGCGUGGGAAAUGCCUUUGUUCCGCGUUACAACUUUUACGGUGGAGGAGUUGGAUGUGCCAUCGUUGGAUGCCCUCCGGCGCUCAAUCUCACCGAGGAGGGAUCUAGACAGAAGGAGGCCGGGCCAAAGUCGGAUCACAACUCCAAGGAAGGAAACAGGCACUUGCAAAUUUCUCUCUGGCGUGGCACAAGGAAUGGACACUGGGGACUCCUAUUGCUGUUCUAGUUCCAAACACGGAUCAACGUAGAAGAGAUUGGCUCUAGCUUAUCUAGCGGCCAUCUCAUGCCGAUGCUACUUACGGAUUCAAGUAGCCGUCCAGGUUAAAUCUAAACGUUUCCUCGCAAACUCUCUUGGAAGAAGAUCAUCCACCCGAGAAAGAGUAGCAGCGGGGACAAUCGCAAACAGUUUGUGCUUUUAUAUUUCCUUGGUGUUCGUAAUUCCCGGUGGAGAGCAACAUCCGGAUCAAGUUAUGGCGGAAAAAACGAUCGCUGCCAUCGACGCUGUGAGAGUGAGGGGAGAUUCCGUGGGAGGAGUCGUCACUUGCAUUGCUAGAAACGUUCCUCGGGGACUUGGGGCUCCUGUUCUUGACAAGCUAGAAGCCGAGCUCGCCAAGGCUCUCAUGUCUUUCCCUGCCACCAAAGGCUUUGACUUUGAAGGAUCUCCUUUCUGUUUUUUCCUCAACUUGUGAACAAGUCAUGCAGGGAAGAAGAGACGAUAGUGAUGAGAAUAGCAUUCAAGCCGACGUCUACAAUCACUGUAAAGUUCUUCGAUUCUCACUGAGCUGGCAUGAAAUUCCAAGAGACUGGAAUGAGAGACCGGCAAGAAGAGCUCGUGUUCGUCAUGAUCCCUGCGUCGUUCCUCGAGCUGUUCCAAUGGUGUCCAAGGCGAUGGUGGCCUUGGUUCUCGCGGAUCAGCUCCUCCAACACUACAUGCAGUGCCAAUUUCUCCCUCUGGCAGAGCUCCACCCUCGUCUCUAAUCCACCGAAGGAAGAACGUCUCGCUUGCCAUUUUUUUUAUUUUUUAUUUUUUAACUUGAAUUCGAGCGCCAAAUU